rnacentral:rRNA from 1 species
AUUCGCGUAUGUCUGGCAUCUGCCUGAUGGAGGGGGAUAACUACUGGAACGGUAGCUAAUACCGCAUAACGUCGCAAGACCAAAGAGGGGGACCUUCGGGCCUCUUGCCAUCGGAUGUGCCCAGAUGGGAUUAGCUUGUAGGUGGGGUAACGGCUCACCUAGGCGACGAUCCCUAGCUGGUCUGAGAGGAUGACCAGCCACACUGGAACUGAGACACGGUCCAGACUCCUACGGGAGGCAGCAGUGGGGAAUAUUGCACAAUGGGCGCAAGCCUGAUGCAGCCAUGCCGCGUGUAUGAAGAAGGCCUUCGGGUUGUAAAGUACUUUCAGCGGGGAGGAAGGUAGUAAAGUUAAUACCUUUGCUCAUUGACGUUACCCGCAGAAGAAGCACCGGCUAACUCCGUGCCAGCAGCCGCGGUAAUACGGAGGGUGCAAGCGUUAAUCGGAAUUACUGGGCGUAAAGCGCACGCAGGCGGUUUGUUAAGUCAGAUGUGAAUCCCCCCGGGCUC